rnacentral:rRNA from 1 species
UACGGAGGAUGCAAGCGUUAUCCGGAAUGAUUGGGCGUAAAGGGUCCGCAGGUGGCAUUGUAAGUCUGCUGUCAAAGAAUGAGGCUUAACCUCAUCAAGGCAGUGGAAACUACACAGCUAGAGUACGGUCGGGGUAGAAGGAAUUCCUGGUGUAGCGGUGAAAUGCGUAGAGAUCAGGAAGAACACCGGUGGCGAAAGCGUUCUGCUAGACCUGUACUGACACUGAGGUGCGAAAGCGUGGGGAGCAAACAGG